ensembl:lncRNA
AUGACGGAGACAGGAACAGAAGCCACGGUAAGCCUAACUGAGAAAAAACGAGUGGUUAAGCCAACACUUAAAGCAUUGGAGUAUAAUCUGCAAACGAAAAUGAGCUCCAGAAGAGCCAUAUUAGGACAACUAACUGAGAAAAAGAACGAAUUGCAUGGUUUAAUGGAUGAUGAUGCAAAUGUGGAAAUCAUAGCAAAGGAAUUGUUGGCCAAGUAUGAAACACUGAUAAAGGAAUUCAGUAAAAUAAAUGCUGACGUUAAAGACAUAUUUUGCCAGAUUGAAUGCAUAGAGAAUUUGAACACAGAUCAAAGGGAUUGGUUUGAGCCAAGAAAUAACGAGCACAGAGAAUUUGUGCAAGAAGUGACAGCAUGGAUACAGAAUGCAAUACUACGCAGAGAAGAGGCUAACAAGGUUAGUGAGCAGAUACAUCCUGAAGAUAGUGUGUCAGUCACAUCCAGUAAGUCUAGAAAAUCUAAGUCUGUUUCUGCUACUUCUGCAACAUCGUCAGCUCGUGCUGAGCGCUUAAAGGUCGAAUUAGAGAGAGCUGCUCUGUUAGCCAAGUCAGCUACAUUGAGAAAAAGACAGACUUUAGAGGAGCAUGAACUAAAGCUCAAGGUUGAAAAAGAACAGUUGGAGCUGCAAGCAGGGCUCGCUGCAACUGAUGCACGAUUAGCCGUGUUAAGAAAAUAUGAAAGUUCAGAGGUGUCAAGUAGAACCAAAGGCAGUAGGGUGGAAAUAUUGAUGUCUGCGCCAAGGAAGCAUGAUGUCAGCCACAGUAAGAGAAGUGUAGCUAGCAGUGGAACUUGGCAUAGCCACACUAGUGGAAGAGGUGCAGAUGCAAUACGAGCUCCUGUCACUUCAGAUAAUCACACAGAUAAUCUGGUUACCGUCAUGCAACGGCAAAACGACAUCACUGAAAGCCUAAUAAAGCAGCAAAGGCUAUCUACAUUGCCAUCACCGAACAUUCCAGUUUUCAAGGGAGAUCCAUUAGAAUAUCGUCUCUUCAUGAGAGCCUUUGAGCAUCGUAUAGAAAGCAAGACUGAAAACAGCAAAGAUCGGCUUUACUAUCUAGAACAGCACACAAAUGGGCAGCCUAAUGACUUAGUGCGCAGCUGUUUUCAUAUGGAUCCAGAUCAGGGCUACUCCGAAGCCAAGAGACUGCUAAAGGAACGCUUUGGUGAUAAAUAUAAGAUAUCCAUGGCAUACCUUGACAAGGCUUUAAACUGGCCUGCCAUUAAAGCAGAUGACACCAAGGCACUUGAAGCAUACGCACUCUUUAUGACAAACUGCAAUAAUGCAAUGUCAGAUCUGGAGUACUUAGAAGAGAUGGAAAAUGCUGCUAACAUGCGUACGAUCAUCUCAAAGCUCCCAUACAGGCUGAGAGAGAGAUUCAGGAGUGUCGCCAUAGACAUUCAGAAAAAGCAAGAUCGGCGGACAAAGUUCAAAGACAUAGUGUCAUUUGUCAACACACAGGCUGAAAUAGCAGCACACCCUGUGUUUGGUGAAAUCUCAGGACAAACAAGGCGCCAGACUGAAAGGUUAAGUGGAAAGAAAAACAUCACAACACUAGCCACUGAAGUAAAAGAACAGAAAGCUGAGAAAGAUGCUGCUAGUGCCCGAAACAAGAAAGCUCAGGAGAAGGGAACAAACAUGGACAAAGCCUUCAUGAAACCUUGUAUCUUCUGUCAGGGAGAUCAUACCAUGGAACAGUGCAAGAAACUCCAAAGAAAGCUUCACAAAGAAAAGCUUGAAUUCCUGAAGAGUAAAGGACUUUGUUUCAGUUGUCUUAUAGGAGGACACAUGAGUAAUGCCUGUGAAGAAAAGAAAAGCUGUCAGAUAUGUUCAGCGACACACCCUACGCUCUUACACAUAAAGCAGAAAUUUAAAGACUUACCAAAGGAAGAGGCAUCACAGGAGGAGCCAAAAGAGGAGUCUCCAAAGGAAGAGCAAACCGUUGUCAGUGGAUUCGUGGAUGCAGGGGAAGCAUGCUCUCAGACUGGGGUCGGGGGUACCGGUAGUGUCCUCGCCAUCGUUCCUGUGAGGGUAAAGGCAAAGAAAGGCAACAAGGUGCUGACUUGUUAUGCAUUCAUGGAUCCAGGGAGUAACGCCUCCUUCUGCACUAACAAGCUGGCGAACGACCUUCACCUGCAAGGAAAAAAUGUGAACAUCCUACUCACUACUAUGGGAGACCAAAAGACAGUCUCAUGUAAAGCUGUAUCAGACCUAGAAGUGAGUAGCUUAGAAGGUGAUGACUUUAUCGAGCUUACAGGUGUUUUCGCACAAAAGGUUAUCCCCGCAAGUAAAGAGAACAUUCCAACCCAAGAAGACGUGGAUAGGUGGCCACAUCUACGAGGUGUACGAAUUCCAUCGAUCAACGCGGAUAUCGGUCUUCUCAUUGGGACUGAUGUGGCAAAGGCUUUGGAGCCAAAAGAGGUAAUCCGCAGUGUCAAGGAUGGGCCGUAUGCAGUACGCACAGCUUUGGGAUGGACAGUGAACGGACCGCUGCGUGAGAACUUCAGAAGCUGGACAAAGAAUGGAUACCCGCAGAUCCAGAUGAAUCGGAUCUCAGUGGCUCGACUCGAAGACUUAUGGACUCAGCAACUCAAGUACGAUUUUCCUGAGAAUGCUCAAGGAGAGCAGUUAGAAAUGUCUAAGGAAGACCAACUGUUUAUGGAGAGAGUUUCCAAAUCGGCAAAGCUGGUCAACGGACACUACUCUAUUGGUCUUCCGUUGAAGAACAAGGAUGUGAAAAUGCCCAACAACAGAGCAAUGGCAGAGCAACGAGUGCUCAACAUGAAAAAGAAGCUACAGAGAAAUCAAACGUUCAAAGAGGACUAUGUCAGCUUCAUGAAUGAUGUGAUAAAGAAGGGCUACGCUGUAAAGGUUCCAGAUGAAGAACUAAAACGGAGUGAUGGAAAGGUGUGGUUUAUUCCGCAUCACGGUGUCUACCACCCUAAGAAGCAUAAAAUGCGUGUGGUAUUCGACUGUGGCGCUUCAUAUCAAGGAACCACACUCAAUGAACAAUUACUGCAAGGGCCUGACAUGACAAGCAGUCUGGUUGGUGUCUUGACUAGAUUCCGUCAAGAGCGAGUCGCAAUCAUGGCGGAUGUGGAAUCGAUGUUCCACCAGGUCAAAGUCCCACCAGAAGAUGCCGACCUUCUCAGGUUUUUGUGGUGGCCGGACGGCGACACCUCAAAAGAAAUGCAAGAGUACAGAAUGGAGGUACACUUGUUUGGAGCCACCUCCUCACCAAGUUGCGCAAGUUAUGCGUUGAGAAGGUGUGCCGAGGACAACAAGAACAUGUUUGGUGCAGCAGUUGUGGAUACAGUCUUAAAUAAUUUUUAUGUAGACGAUUGUUUGAAAUCAGUUGCCACUGAACAAGAAGCAGUCAGACUACUACAAGACUUGAAGGCCAUCUGUCAAACAGGAGGUUUUAGACUGACAAAAUGGACAACGAACAAUCGAAAUGUGUUGUUAAACAUUCCACUUGAGGACCGGGCAACAGAAGUCAAAGAUCUCGAUCUUGACCAGGAUUCACUCGCCAUCAAGAGAGCUUUGGGAGUACAGUGGUGUAUCCGGUCAGAUCAGUUCAAGUUCCAUGUGCAUAUAGAGCAGAAGCCUCUCACCAGGAGAGGAAUCCUGUCUACGAUGAGUUCAGUCUACGACCCACUGGGAAUGUUGUCGCCAGUCAUACUGCCUGCUAGAAACAUCCUGCAAGAAUUGUGUAGACUAAGAACAGGCUGGGAUGACACUGUGCCAGAACAUUUCGCACAACAAUGGACAGAGUGGACUGAAGAACUUCAACAGCUCACUGACUUUGGAGUGGAUCGGUGCUUUAAGACACCUGAGUUUGGGAAAACAGUGCAAGCUCGGUUGCAUCACUUUUGUGACGCGUGCGAAACAGGCUACGGUACUGUUACUUACUUAGUCCAGAAGAACAGUAACAAUCAAAUACUCUGCUCAUUUGUCUUGGGAAAGGCAAGGGUUGCCCCUCUCAAACCACCAACUAUCCCGCGGAUGGAGCUGACGGCGGCUGCCUUAGCUGUGAAGGUGGAUGUCAUGCUGAAGAAAGAACUACAGUUGCCACUGUCAGAUUCCAGGUUUUGGACGGACAGUACUGCCGUACUCAGGUACUUAGCAAAUGAGAACAUCAGAUUUAAGACAUUUGUGGCGAAUAGGAUUGCCAUAAUCUUGCAAGCAUCAAAAGUGCAGCAAUGGAGCUACGUCAACACUCAGUUGAAUCCUGCUGAUUGCGCCUCCAGGGGACAAAAGGUGAGUGUCUUCAUGAAGAACGAAGUUUGGAUUGCAGGACCUGUCUUCCUCAGUAAACCUGAAAGGGAAUGGCCAGACAAACACGAUUACCUAGAAGAGCUCACGGCUGAAGAUCCUGAGGUCAAGAAAGGCAUACUUGUCAAUGCUACAACAGCAGAAGAAAGCACUGAUGCAAUGCAAAAACUAAUUGGAUACUAUUCUUCAUGGAUACACCUCAAGAAGGCUGUGGCGUGGCUCACACGACUCAAGGGAACCCUGGUAAACCUGUCAAGGAAAAGAAAGGAGAUGAAUGGAUUGUACAGUGAUCAACAACGGGUGGACAGGGAGAUGCUGAGCUACAAAAAGAGUCUCAAACAGACUUACCUGACUGUGGACAAUCUGCGACAAGCUGAGACGGAUAUCAUCAGCCAUUGUCAGCAAAGUAGUUUCCAAGAAGAGAUAUCUGCUCUUCGUAGAAAGGACUCCAUCAAGAAGAGUAGUCGAAUCUUCAGACUGAAUCCACAACUUGAAGAGGGAAUCCUUCGUGUUGGAGGGAGGCUCAGUCGGGCAUCCAUGCCAGCCGAAGCCAAGCACCCUAUAAUCCUGCCUAAGAACCAUCGUGUGGCUGAUCUGAUUCUCCAGGAUUCACAUGAGCGGCUGGGACACAGUGGACGUAAUCAUGUCUUGUCUCAUGUACGUCAAAAGUACUGGAUUAUCGAUGCUCUCUCGUCAAUUAGAAGAAUGCUGUCACGGUGUACUAUCUGUCGAAGACAACAUGGUGCAUCAGGCACACAAAUGAUGGCGGACUUACCAAGAAACAGAGUUGUACCAGACGAACCACCCUUCACCAGAACUGGAGUGGAUCUAUUUGGGCCAUUCAACAUUAAACGUGGAAGAUCAUCUGUAAAAAGAUAUGGGGUGAUAUUUACCUGCCUUGCAUGUCGUGCGGUUCACAUAGAAAUAGCAACAUCAUUGGAAACAGACUCCUUUAUUCAAGCUCUGCGUCGCUUCAUUGCAAGAAGAGGUCAGGUAAAGGAGAUGAGAUCUGAUAAUGGGACCAACUUUGUUGGAGCUGAUCAUGAGCUCAGAAAGGCAAUAAAGGAGUGGAAUACUUCACAAAUUGAGAACAGCUUGCUCCAACGUGACAUCAGAUGGUUAUUCAAUCCACCAUCCGGAUCCCACCAUGGAGGGGUGUGGGAGAGAAUUAUCCGCUCCAUCAGGACAAUCAUGGGUUCUACACUGAGAGAACAAAACUUGGAUGAGGAAGGUCUUCAGACGUUCUUCUGUGAAUGUGAAGCCAUUCUGAAUAGUAGGCCUAUUACCAUGCCUUCCAAUGACAUUAAUGAUCUGGAAGCUCUUACCCCACAGCACUUACUCCUGCUCAAGACUAACCCCAACUUACCACCAGGACUCUUCCAUAAGGAUGAUACUUAUGCACGUAAAAGAUGGAGGCAAGUCCAGUAUAUGAGCGAUCUAUUCUGGAAGCGCUGGACCAAGGAAUAUCUGCCUCAACUUCAGAAGAGACAGAAAUGGAACCAUCCAUCACGGAACUUCAUCCCGGGAGAUGUAGUCUUGAUUGUCGAUGAAUCAGCCCCCAGGGGAGCAUGGCUGAUGGGAAGAAUCGUUAAGACUAUGGAGGACGAGCAUGGAGUGGUCCGCAAGGUUCGAGUCAAGACUAAGACGAAUGAACUUGAGAGGCCGAUAACUAAACUCUGCUUACUUCAGGAAGCAGUAUGA